rnacentral:rRNA from 1 species
CUACGGGCUGCUCCAGUGAGGAAUAUUGCACAAUGGGGGGAACCCUGAUGCAGCAACGCCGCGUGGAGGAUGACGCAUUUCGGUGUGUAAACUCCUUUUAUAUGUCAAGAAAAUGACGGUAGCAUAUGAAUAAGCACCGGCUAACUCCGUGCCAGCAGCCGCGGUAAUACGGGGGGUGCAAGCGUUACUCGGAAUCACUGGGCGUAAAGGACGCGUAGGCGGGUUGGAAAGUCAGGUGUGAAAUCCUACAGCUUAACUGUAGAACUGCACUUGAAACUUCUAAUCUAGAGUAUGGGAGGGGGAGAUGGAAUUAGUGGUGUAGGGGUAAUAUCCGUAGAUAUCACUAGGAAUACCUAAAGCGAAGGCGAUCUCCUGGAACAUUACUGACGCUAAGGCGUGAAAGCGUGGGGAGCAAACAGGAUUAGAUACCCCGGUAGUC